rnacentral:rRNA from 1 species
UACGUAGGGUGCGAGCGUUAAUCGGAAUUACUGGGCGUAAAGCGUGCGCAGGCGGUUUGGUAAGACAGAUGUGAAAUCCCCGGGCUUAACCUGGGAACUGCAUUUGUGACUGCCAGACUAGAGUGUAGCAGAGGGGGGUAGAAUUCCACGUGUAGCAGUGAAAUGCGUAGAGAUGUGGAGGAAUACCGAUGGCGAAGGCAGCCCCCUGGGCUAACACUGACGCUCAUGCACGAAAGCGUGGGGGAGCAAACAGGAUUAGAUACCCUGGUAGUCCACGCCCUAAACGAUGUCAACUAGGUGCUGGGGAAGGAGACUUCUUUAGUACCGCAGCUAACGCGUGAAGUUGACCGCCUGGGGAGUACGGUCGCAAGAUUAAAACUCAAAGGAAUUGACGGGGACCCGCACAAGCGGUGGAUUAUGUGGAUUAAUUCGAUGCAACGCGAAAAACCUUACCUACCCUUGACAUGUCAGGAAGAUUCCAGAGAUGGGAUUGUGCCCGAAAGGGAACCUGAACACAGGUGCUGCAUGGCUGUCGUCAGCUCGUGUCGUGAGAUGUUGGGUUAAGUCCCGCAACGAGCGCAACCCUUGUCAUUAAUUGCCAUCAUUCAGUUGGGCACUUUAAUGAGACUGCCGGUGAUAAACCGGAGGAAGGUGGGGAUGACGUCAAGUCCUCAUGGCCCUUAUGGGUAGGGCUUCACACGUAAUACAAUGGUCGGUACAGAGGGUUGCCAACCCGCGAGGGGGAGCUAAUCUCAGAAAGCCGAUCGUAGCCCGGAUCGGAGUCUGCAACUCGACUCCGUGAAGUCGGAAUCGCUAGUAAUCGCGGAUCAGCAUGUCGCGGUGAAUACGUUCCCGGGUCU